rnacentral:rRNA from 1 species
UACGGAGGGUGCGAGCGUUGUCCGGAAUCACUGGGCGUAAAGGGCGCGUAGGCGGCGCGGGGAGUCAACGGUGAAAGCUCGGCGCUCAACGCCGAGUCGGCCGUCGAUACUCCCCGUGCUCGAGCACUGUAGAGGCAGGUGGAAUUCCGGGUGUAGGCGGUGGAAUGGCGUAGAGAUCCGGAAGAACACCAGUGGCGAAGG